rnacentral:misc_RNA from 1 species
GUGAUAAUGAAACCAAAAGAGAAUUCCUAGAUACAAUUUCAAAGAUUACUAUUACAGUUGUAUCAAAUGACUCAGAGAAAAACAAACCUUGAUGAUAGGCUUUUCAGUCAUGAUAAUUGUCACCCAACCAACAUAAGGUAAGAACCUAGAAAUAAGAAAAUGUAAGCAACAUUUAAGGGCUUUUUCACUUGUCGAACACUGAAGUAGUUUUCUGAAAAAAAGUUAAAAAAAUUGG